AAGAAGAGAAGUGCUUGAGGAAGUUGAAAGCUUUACAGAUAGAAAGCAAGCAAUCGAAGUAUAGGGAUAAUCAAAAGCGCAUUACUGAAUCAAGUAAAGAAAACAGAGAGACUGUGAGGAGAGACGGUGGUCAAGAGAAAGAUGAUGGAAAGCGAUGGCUUAGAAAUCACAUUCGAGUCAGAAUUAUAAGCAAGGACCUGAAAGGAGGCAGAUUUUAUUUGAAGAAGGGGGAGGUGGUAGAUGUGGUUGGUCCAUAUGCAUGUGAUAUAUCCAUGGAUGAGACUAAGGAGUUGGUACAAGGGGUAGAUCAGGAUCUUCUUGAGACUGCAUUACCACGUCGUGGGGGUCCUGUCCUUGUUCUGUAUGGGAAGCAUGAGGGGGUGUAUGGUAAUUUGGUUCAGAGGGAUUUGGACCAAGAGACUGGGGUUGUGCAAGAUGCUGAUACUCAUGAAUUACUCAAUGUCAAACUUGAACAA
rnacentral:misc_RNA from 1 species